GGAGGGGAGGAGAUCGGAGGCUGGGCUGCUCUCCACCCAGGGAGGUGAGGGCGGGGAGGGGAGGGGAUCGGAGGCUGGGCUGCUUUCAGCACCCAGGGAGGUGAGGGAGGGGAGGGGAGGGGACUGGAGGCUGGGCUGCUCUCAGCAUCCCCUGCAUCAUGUUUUCACUGCGCAGCUUCGGGAUCUGGUCCCUCCCAAGGCCUCCUGCAGGCAGAUGAAGAGCAGAACCAUGUUUUGGAGCCAAAUAGAAAAUUAUUUUUGGCGACUCAGGGCAGAAGUUUACCUCUAGUGCCCUGUAGACCUCAUCUGCUGGCGGCCAAGGUCCUCCUUCUGAAGUCUAAAUAAAAGUAGCUGAAGCGGGUCCAGCCUCUGCAGCUGGGGCGCUGACAGCGAGGGAAUGUGGGUGGAGAUGUUUGGGAAGAGGGCUAGGGGCUGUGGCUCCAGGCGAGGCCUGUUGAAGUGUUAAUGGGCCCAUCUCCAAGUGAGAGAAUUAGCCCCACGGGGCAGCCACAUGUAAAAAGCUUGGGAAUUGAGGAAGUGCUGCCCUGGCAGAGGCAGGAUAAGAGAGUUCCGGAUGCUGAGCUGAGUGGGGAGAAGCACAUUCUGGACUUUGUCUGGCGCGGGCAGCAGGGAGCCCUGCCACUGCACUCAGAUGCUGGCUCUCACCGCUCCCCUCGAGGCCUUGGUGAUGCUGACGCAGCUGGGCCACAGGGCAAGGGGCUGGUCUGGCCAGACCUGCUGCUGCCCAGGGGACACACCAGGGGACCACAACACACACAGCUUGGCUAGAGGGACCACCGUCCAGCCCCUCAUCUCACAGAGCAGACGGACAGCAGCUGUGGCACGCCAAGCCCCUACAAUGCCACCGGCACCAGCUGGUCUCUGGAGCUAGAACGCCCAGGUAGAUGGGCUCUGUGGCCUUGGGCAAGUUCCUUUGUCUCUCUGGGUCUCUUUGCUCAUCUGCAAAAUGGAAAGAGGCUAGAAAUUGGGAGAGAAGCAGGGGUGGGGAGACAGGGGAGAGGAGGGUUGGGAAGGAGUAUUGUGCAGGAGAGCUGGGG
rnacentral:lncRNA from 1 species